CCUGGCUCAGAGCGAACGCUGGCGGCAGGCUUAACACAUGCAAGUCGAGCGGGCAUCUUCGGGUGUCAGCGGCGGACGGGUGAGUAACGCGUGGGAACGUGCCCUCUGGUUCGGAAUAACUCAGGGAAACUUGAGCUAAUACCGGAUACGCCCUUUUGGGGAAAGGCUUGCUGCCGGAGGAUCGGCCCGCGUCUGAUUAGCUAGUUGGUGAGGUAACGGCUCACCAAGGCGACGAUCAGUAGCUGGUCUGAGAGGAUGAUCAGCCACACUGGGACUGAGACACGGCCCAGACUNCUACGGGAGGCAGCAGUGGGGAAUAUUGGACAAUGGGCGCAAGCCUGAUCCAGCCAUGCCGCGUGAGUGAUGAAGGCCUUAGGGUUGUAAAGCUCUUUUAUCCGGGACGAUAAUGACGGUACCGGAGGAAUA
rnacentral:rRNA from 1 species